AAGCUUUCAAUCGGGGCCCCCAUUGCUUAUAUUAGGCGGUGCCGGAUUCGUCCGGCUAUGGCGAUAAAUGGACGUCGCAAUAAGCCCAUCGGACCCGGGGGCAGUACCCGGCGCCUCCACCACAGGUGUCGGUGGACGCAGACCAGGAUGGACAAGAUCCGGUCCGCGCACCCGACGCCUGCGGCGGGGGCGAAAUAGGAUCGACGAGGGUGUAAAGGGCGCUCUUUCGCUCGGCAUGAUACCGCCGUUAUCGGGUCAAUCAGAUAGUUGCCAACGACAACUAUGCUGAGGCGGCUCUCGCUGCGUAACGCGGCGCGAUACGCCUGAACUCAAGCCCUGGCGUCUAGCCACGUCAGGCGCGGUCUCGGAGGGCACCGGGCAACAGAAGCCCUCCACU
rnacentral:tmRNA from 1 species